CUCAGAGCGAACGCUGGCGGCGUGGAUAAGACAUGCAAGUCGAGCGCUGGCCGCGGGGUAGCAAUAUUCCGCGGUUGGAGCGGCGCAAGGGUGCGUAACACGUGGGCAAUCUGCCGUGAAGUUUGGGAUAACUUGCUGAAAGGCGAGCUAAUACCGGAUGUGAACGCUGGGAGGCAUCUCCCGGUGUUUAAAGUUGGGGACCGCAAGGCCUGACGCUUCAUGAUGAGCCCGCGGCCUAUCAGCUAGUUGGUGAGGUAACGGCCCACCAAGGCUUGGACGGGUAGCUGGUCUGAGAGGACGACCAGCCACACUGGAACUGAGACACGGUCCAGACACCUACGGGUGGCAGCAGUCGAGAAUUUUUCACAAUGGGCGAAAGCCUGAUGGAGCGACGCCGCGUGGGGGAUGAAUGGCUUCGGCCCGUAAACCCCUGUCAUUCGCGAUCAAAGCUGGCGAUUUAAAAGAUAGCCAGUUGAUAGUAGCGGAAGAGGAAGGGACGGCUAACUCUGUGCCAGCAGCCGCGGUAAUACAGAGGUCCCAAGCGUUGUUCGGAUUCACUGGGCGUAAAGGGUGCGUAGGUGGCGAGGUAAGUCGGAUGUGAAAGCUCGGAGCUCAACUCCGAAACGGCAUUGGAAACUACCUUGCUUGAGGGUCGGAGGGGGGACUGGAAUUCUCGGUGUAGCAGUGAAAUGCGUAGAUAUCGAGAGGAACACCAGUGGCGAAGGCGAGUCCCUGGACGACUCCUGACACUGAGGCACGAAAGCUAGGGGAGCAAACAGGAUUAGAUACCCUGGUAGUCCUAGCCGUAAACGGUGCAUGCUUGCUGUAAAAGGAAUCGACCCCUUUUGUGGCGGAGCCAACGCGUUAAGCAUGCCGCCUGGGAAGUACGGUCGCAAGAUUAAA
rnacentral:rRNA from 1 species